AGUAAGGGCAGCUAAAAAAGCUCUCGGGCCCAUACCCCGAACAUGUGGGUUAAAAUCCCUCCCUCACUA
rnacentral:tRNA from 1 species